CAAAACUAUGGGCCAAGCACAAUAAUUCUGUCCAUAUGCAGAUUUACUUUCAGGCCCAAAAUCGUAACACAAUUUGGCAGGUAACCAGGAUAAUAUUGGGCCUAGCAGUAUCAUUAAACAACAGGUUCAUAAGAUCUGCCAACCAGAAAAAACAACUAGUUACUUUGUACCAUUACACCAUGUUCAUAAAAUGGACGUUGUCCACAUUGUCCACAAGUAACUUAUUAUAAUUAUAGAACCAGUAACAUAACAUGGCACCAACUCUUUUAAGUAACAACUGAUACUUUGCGGAUUUCUCCUUGGCCUCCACAAGCUCCUCUCGCAUCAACUCUGGCUUGCGUCUUCUUCUCGAGCAUGAACUCUAGUACUUGUCAUGAAGCAAAGCAACAUUCUGCUUUUGAGUAGAAAAUCUAUGCACAUUUAAAAAACAAACAGAGAACAAGUUAGAUGAAAAAUCUUGAGCUCAAAAAACAAAAGAAGAGACAAACAAAAGGAAUGGACAUAUCAUACAUAUCAGCAUGCUUAUGCGAGAAACGAAGAAUAUCCACGGCAAGUAAAGAACGCAGAAAAUCAAUCCAACUUAAAUCAGCAACUUAGUAACUCACGUAAUUACUCCACUAAGCAUGAACAUAAACUAUGAACUAGAAUUAAAUAGUUGUCUCUAGUUUUCAAGCCCAUGAUUUCACUCGUAUCUUGAGAAAACAAAAUUCCAUAUUACCUCUUCUCUACAAGUAUAAAACACCCGAAACAUGAUUUACAUUUUCAUAAGCAUAAAAUUAUAUUAGACGAGAAGACAUUGUAAAACAGAAUCUCCUUCAAAAAGAGCGCCAUUGGGCUACCAUGCUAGUUAUUGCAAGGCGUGUACUUCAAGUAGUGCUGCCAUGACAAGUGGCUCAUAUUCAUAUAAUAAGUAUUAAACUCAAUAAUAGUAAAUUCUCACACUGCUCCAGUAAAUAGCAACAUGCGAUUAAUUAAGCAUACAAGUAGGUUGCCGAACUAAAAUCGAAAGACAGUAGAAGAGACAGGUUGGCUGGGUUUUAUGUUUCAAUAUCCCAAAAUUUAUUUUUGAUUCUUAGUAAAGCCAUCAACAUGAAUACAUAGCAAUACAAUAAUCAACUAUUGGAACAGAAGUUUCGAGCAGCCAUGAGGACACAAGGAAGAUGUAACUAAGUACAGAACAUAUCAUAUACUAAUACCUUUUGUAUCCAUAAAAUUUUGUACAUGAGCUCCACAUGACAAGAUGUAGAUAAUUUUAGUAACAGGUAUGGCCACUGAAAAAAAAAACCACAUAUCUAUUUUAUUACCCAUGAAAGUCCAUCAGUAAAAUCUUUCUUUUCCCGAUUAAAAAUAAAAAUGAACAAGCAAAAUAAAGGGAAAAUGUCUCUCCCAGGACUCCUCCCGGCUGAAACUUCUACGAUAUAGAUGGCCCGGCCAAAAAAAAGACCCACACAUACAGUUUGUGAAAGUGAAGAAGGAAAUCAUCCAUGGGUUCGCUAGCUAUAUAACAAAAAGGUAGCUUCCUUACAUAAAACCUGCACCGAUAAUAAAAAGAAAAAAACAGAUUCAUUUGAUGUCAAUUGAAAGGGAAAACAAUCACGUAUGAAAGAAGCGGCAACUCUUCCUCAAAAUAAGAAAUUAGGAAAGAAAAUCCCCCUCGACUCCUGUACAUGCCCACUUACUCCUGUAUAAAAAGGAUUAACAUGACUCUCUAGAGCUGUAGAUUGCUAUUACGUGUUUGCAUAUUUUUUAUCCUAAUAUGAAGAGAAAAAUAAUUGCCAUUAAAACAUCGUUAUAUUUAUGUACAUUGUUGAUUAAUAAAAAAAAUUGAUUGUAUCAUGCGCCAAUAAUAUCUCAUAUCAACAGUACAGUUUUUCUACAACCACUACUUUCCCUCUCAUAUACUACAUAGCAAGUUAAAAACAAAGAUUGCAUAACAUGAUGUUCGUUGAAUUACGUGAAAGGAACCCGACACCCGGAUUAUUUUUCCCCCAAUUUCUUUCAUGUUUUCUACUGUAUUUCUAAAAUAUGUAACAGACUGGACCUGAAUUCUCAUCAAGAUUACAUACAUCUCAACAAUGGGCACAUAAUGAAUACCAUCAGAGCUAAUUGAUAUGUGAUUAAUCAGACAUAACUAUACAGUGGUAGCCAAAUAUGGGAUUGAGUGUCAUAGUCAUGCACAAAGAUUCAGUUACAUAAAUAAUUGGAUACAUACAAAAGCGUGACUGAUUUGGGAAUACACUAUCUGCACAACAAUGUAAUUAAACGACGGCUUUGCACAAGAGAAAACCAUCACAGAUUCACAAGUAACCCGGCUACCCGUACAGAAACACGCACAUAAGGUCAACUAUAGGAACAACCGAAAAAAAAGAACAACCACAGCGAUAGCUUCAGCGUCUUCUAUGGUACCGAAUGGCUUCCACCAAGACGCGAAAAAAAAGAGGAACCGGGAGUACUGGAAUACCUUCAUCAUCUUACAAGAAGUUAGAUGGCUCCUGUGAGCUGCCAAUCACAUGAUGGGGGAGUGAAACAGCAUCGUAUAUCCCGCUGAGUCGCUGGAGUUACAACCAUACUAGGGUGGUGCUAUUCCACAUCUGCAUGUACAUCUGCCAAAUCAUGGUUACAACGUCAGUUUCUGAUUUUG
rnacentral:lncRNA from 1 species